CAAAGUUAUCAGCUGGAAAAAGACUUGACAUAAGCUGGAGAAUGAAUAGGCCAGUUGGUCCAAAUACAAAGUUGUUCAAAUCAAGAUGUACUGUUCUAGUUCGUGAAGUGAAGAAUGCACCACUAAAGGUUAAAGAAUGGGCUGAUAUCAAAAUAGAGAACAAAAUAAAGAUGUUAGACCUAGUUUCGGUAAUAUUUAUGUUCUCCUUAUUAUGUUUUCACAUGCUUUUUUUAUUUUUAUAUCUAUAAACUCAAACUAAUAGUAUAUGUUAUGUUCUUUUAAGACAUAUUUUAAAGUUGAAGGUCGAAAGCAUUUAGUAUGGGCUCAAAUGAAUUCUUCUUAUCGGAGUUAUCGACAUCUACUAAAGAAAAGGUAUUUUGAACCUUAUGAUAACCCUGAAAUUGCUCGAGCCAAUGUGCCAUUGGAAAUGAAAAAAGAGGAUUGGGAUUACCUUGUGAAUCUUUGGAUUGAUGAAGGCUGGCAGAAAAUAAGUCAACAAAACAAGAUGAGUCGAGCUGCAAAUAGUAUUAUCCAUACCACUGGUGCUAAGGGAGCCCAAUAAAGAGCUGAAGAGGCGGUAUCUAAAUUUUACUAAUUUAUAGACUUAAUUUGAAGAUAUAUAUUAGUUGCUAUAUUUAUAAGAUAUGUUAUUUGUGGCUACAGUUUGAGCAAACAGGACAAGAAAUUGACCGUCUUCGUCUUUGGGAGCUUACGCAUACUCGUGCUAAUGGACAAGCUUGCAAUGAAGAAACUCAAGAAAAACUUGAUUUACUUAAGGAAUUAUCAUCUCAAGUAAAUGAAGGAACAUUAGAGAUGAAUGAACAUGAGAUGAUGGUAGAAAUAUUUGGACCUGAACGACAUGGACAAGUUCGUGGUUAUGGGUCUGGCAUGACACCUACACAGUUAUGGGGUCCUAGAUCAUUCAUAUUUUCUGAUCUCCAAACAAAACUUCAAUGUGCAGAAAAAAAAAUAUGAAGACUCUAAAAUAGAGGUGGAAGAUUUAAAGAAAAAGGUAGAUCAUAUGGCAGGAAUACUUGAGCAACUAUUGGAUGGAAGGUUGCCUAUAAUUCAAAGUGAUAACAAUCCUACUUCACUUGAUUAAUGCUCAAGACUUUGAUGAGUUUAUGUGUAAUUCAUAUAGCACUAUACAAAAAAGAACAUUAAUAUGAUAUUAUGAUAUUG